rnacentral:rRNA from 1 species
CAGUAGCCGCGGUAAUACGGAGGGUGCAAGCGUUAAUCGGAAUUACUGGGCGUAAAGCGUGCGUAGGCGGUUCGUUAAGUCUGUUGUGAAAGCCCCGGGCUCAACCUGGGAAUGGCAAUGGAUACUAGCGAGCUAGAGUGUGUCAGAGGAUGGUGGAAUUCCCGGUGUAGCGGUGAAAUGCGUAGAGAUCGGGAGGAACAUCAGUGGCGAAGGCGGCCAUCUGGGACAACACUGACGCUGAGGCACGAAAGCGUGGGGAGCAAACAGGAUUAGAUACCCCUGUAGUCCCUGUCUCUUAUAC